AAAUCAUUUAUGUGAUUCUCUUCGGAAAGACGACUAUAGCAGCAACACACAGACAGCAGACACAGUGAUUUAGCUACUCUCAAGUCGAGGUGAUUUUAGUGCAAUUUCUUGAUAUUUCUGCGCAUUGAAUUUGUAGCCAUGUCUUCCGUUUUGUUGAAGAGAGGAGCUCAAACACUAACUCCAUUUCAUGCUCUCACUUCAUUCACGCUAAUGCCUCAAAGUGUAAGCCCUUGUUCUCUUUUACUACAUUCUCAUUUUCUUCCUUUCUCUACUAAACCUAACCCUAAUUCACAACCCAAACCCCCCUUUAUUCCUUCUCCAUCCACCACUCAUCCCGAACUACAACAAUUACUCUAUCAUAAAUCUAAAGUUGGUUUUGAUAAUCUCCACGAUGCUCUUCUUGUGUUCGACAAAAUGCUUCAAAUAAAACCUCUGCUUCCUGUUAUUAAGUUCAACCAACUGUUAACUGCCCUUGUUCGGACGAAAGAAUACUCUGUUGCCAUUUCCAUGUUUAGAGAAUUCCGUCUUUUAAGCAUUCCUGUUGAUAUUGUUACCUUUAAUACUGCCAUUCAUUCCACUUGUCACUUGAGUACUCUUGAUUAUGCCUUUUCCUUGCUUGCUGGAAUCAUCAAGAGUGGUUGGGUGCCCGAUGUCGUGACCUACAACACUCUCAUCAAGGGCCUUCUAUCUCACGACAGGCCUUUGGAGGCCGAGCAUUUGUUUAAGAAGCUUAUAAUAUACAAAGAAAUUCAGCCCAAUGUAGUUACGUAUAGCACCAUCAUUGAUGGUCUCUGCAAAACUUCAAAUACCUCCAUGGCUCUCAAGUUGUUAAGAAAGAUGGAGAAGUUAGGUUGUAAACCCGAUGCGAUAACUUAUACCUCGAUUAUUGAUUCUCUGUGCAAAGAAAGACGAGUUGAUCAUGCAUUGGAUCUUGUGUCUGUAAUGAGCGUUAAAGGCAUUCCACCAAAUGUUAUAACCUAUAACACAUUACUUCAAGGUCUUUGCAGCUCCAGCCGAUGGGAGGACGUUGAGCCUUUGUUAAGUGAGAUGGGUGCUCAGAAGAUCCCUCCUGAUUUGCAUACCUAUAAUAUAUUGGUCGAUGCACACUGCAAAGAAGGGAGGACAAUAGAUGCUCAAGAUGUUAUUGAAAUUAUGAUCAAGAAAAGUGUACCUCCUGAUGUAAUCACCUACAACACACUAAUGGAUGGGUUUUGUUUAACAGGCAAAACGGACAGGGCAUUAGAGGUGCUGAAUACCAUGAGGAAUAAUGGUAUAGCUCCAAAUUGUUAUAGCUUUAACAUUCUGAUAAAUGGCUAUUGUAAGAGGCAGGAACUAGACAAAGCCAUCAAUCUCCUCAGACAAAUGCCUGUUGAAGGUAUAAAAGCCGAUGUUCAAACCUACAGCACCAUCGUACAUGGUCUCUUUCAGAUGGGUAGACAUAAUGAUGUGCACAACCUUCUCCAUGAAAUGCUAAAAAAAGGUAAUAAACCAGAUAUCGUAACAUGUCGAAUUCUGUUGGAUGGCCUUUGCAAGAACCGAUACAUGGAUGAAGCAAUUUCCUUCUUUCGAAUGAUGGAAUGUAAAGGUAUAGCUCAUGAUAUUCAAAUACAUACUAUCCUCAUCGAUGGUCUCUGCAAGAACAGAAAACUUGAUGAGGCCAGAAAUAUUUUUGAUAAGCUUGCUUCAAGAGGUUUGCAACCCAAUGUGAAGACAUACACUACAAUGAUUCAAGGAUUUUGUCAAGAAGGGUUGUUUGAGGAAGCAAAGAUAUUACUUUCUGAAAUGGAAACUAGCGGUUGUUUGCCUAAUGAUGUGACUUACAACACGAUCAUCCGUGGAAGCCUUUUGAAUAAAAGAUAUGAAGAAGCAGUUGUGCUGAUUGAGAACAUGCGAGCUCACAAUUACAAAGCGGAUGCAUCUACCACAUCCAUGGUAGUAGAGCUAUUUCCUAAAGAACAGGAAGAACAGGACCCCGCCGUUCUUGCUUUCUGCAAAUGGUUUUUGCAACAGAAAAAUGAUCACGUUGACAGCUCGAGCACAUUCUGGAUUUGAGAAGAUCAGUCAAAUAGAUCUGAAGGUCUCUACAUCAGAUGCUGGUAAAGAAACACUUAUUGAAAACAUGUGAACUCACGAUUUCUCAGCGGAUGCAUCCACAACGUCCAUGGUGUGGAGCACAGGGCAACAGUGAACUCGGAAAAGGAAAUAUUUUCUAUCCCAUAUUUCUUCCAUUCUACUCAACCAUGGUAGAGCCUGUCGAGAACUAACAGAUGAUGAAAACCCUGCCAAGUGUGCAAGGAUGCAACUGGGUAAGUUCUUAACAUAGCAAAUAUUUAGUAAUUUCAAGAAACUAGAUGUCGAGAACAUCCAAAGGCAUUAACAUGGUAAUGGUUGCAACCUAGUGAGUCGAUCUUAUAUGCUUUUGCUCUCAAGUCCUCUGGCAAAAUUGUGUAAACACAAAGUAUAGCCACAAUAAAACUAAUGAAUUACAUUACAGAUAAAAGAUUAUAAUGUAUAAUUUAUAUUCAAGCUUUGAAACUUACUACAGCAGAUAUUGCAGAGAAUCGCAAGUUUAUCAUGACACCGAAUGGCAUAAUUAGUGUUGAGAUUAACCAUAACAUAUAUUAUUUGGAUUCGAUUUCAUAUACUAAUUUUGUAAGACACGUAAUCCUACCUUUUUAAAGAAACUAUUGUCUUGUGAAAUGUAAUCUGCACAUGUUUUGGAUAUUAAAAAAAAAAUCGAUUGCUGUGAGUGGCCUCUGCUUGCUGUGAUCUUCUGGGCCUGAUUGUAAUAUAAACUCAGUUCUUUUAUUUGUUAUGUAUAACAGUAACGGUAACAGUCAUAUCACGUGACAAAAAAAUGACAAAUUUCAUUAAUAUAUCAGCAAAAAAAAUAAAAUGCAACUCAAUCAACUUUGUGUCUUGUAAAAUUGUCACAUAGGCAUGUGCAGGCCGGAAUUUCGAAGAAAUAAGGAUCAAAACUGAUUGUCAUCACUAAUUUUUGAAAGUGAGACGGGUUGUAGUUAGCCUUCUGAUUCCGUCAAAGUGA